rnacentral:tRNA from 1 species
GGGCCGGUAGCUCAAUGGUUAGAGCAAGCGCCUCUUAAGCGCAAGGUUGAGGGUUCGACUCCCUCUUGGCCCACCA